CUCUCUGUCUCUCUCUCUCUGCCUCUCUCUCUGUCUCUCUCUCUCUCUUACCUACAGACCAGGAUGUAGCACCCAGCCUCUGCUCCAGUACCCCCCCUGCAUGCUGCCAUUCUCUCCCUCUAUGAAGAUAAUAGACUGAAGCCCUGAAACUAGCUUAAGAGUAGGAUCAUUGUGGUAGUUUGGAUCUGAAAUAUGUCUGUCCCAUGUACACCCGUCACAUGUCGAAGACUCAGUCCUCAGCUGGAGGUACAGUUUCAAAAGUGCAGAAAGAAAUGGGGCUGCUGGGGAGUAUAAAUCCCAAAGAAAUCAGAGACCGAUUGUCCAAAGUUACCCAGAUAACCAAAGGUUCACAGCCUGGCUUGCAGACAAGGUAUAUAUGGAGACCUUCCUGGAUACAGUCCAAGAAGAGGAGAGAGUGGGAAGGGCUGGCCCCGUGGACUGCAGGAGCAUCCAGUACAUCUCGUUUAGCCUGAUCCUGGGGGAAUGUUAAAGGGGUCAUAGCAUAGACGUGUCUGGUCUAUUCAGCACUUUACAGUUUCCAAAGCUGCUCAGCUCCAUGCUCUCCUCUUCUUUUCUCGACGGCUGAAGACAUAGUGACUGGAAGAGGUGACAGCAAUCUCCAACCUCCCAAGGAUUUGUCUAAUGCUUUACCCAAGAUAUGAUUCUGAUUUCAUGGAUGAUAUUUGACCUUCCACUUUUCUGAAUAGGGCAUGACUAUAAGACAAACAUCAGCAUUUGACUGGACACUACAUGUUCUCAGCACUAUGAAAUGACCUGUAACAGAUACAUCCUACAGGCUGACUUUUGCUCCGGAGCCAUCUUUUUUAGGAGUUCUAAGCUCCAUAUGGAGCUGUGAGCUACUCAAAGGACUUUUAAUGUGAGUAAUGAAGGAGACAGACUCACAUAUCACAUGUUCCAAUUUUAUAGGGGAAAAGCUAAAAUAAAAGCACGUUGGGGAUGACAGCAUCCCUUCACCUCACCUGUGGGAUUCGGAACAGUGUCCCAGAAAGAAGACAUGGGUGCCAAAGGAAUAGGAUCUGGCAUGGAUGAAGGUAUAGAAACACAUAAAAAUCUUGAUAUGCAUAUAUUUUAGCAUAUAUUAAAGAAAGAGAAACUUUC
rnacentral:lncRNA from 1 species